rnacentral:rRNA from 1 species
CCUCGGGAGGCAGCAGUGAGGAAUAUUGGACAAUGGGGGCAACCCUGAUCCAGCCAUGCCGCGUGCAGGAAGACUGCCCUAUGGGUUGUAAACUGCUUUUAUACAGGAAGAAACUGUGCUACGUGUAGCACCCUGACGGUACUGUAAGAAUAAGGAUCGGCUAACUCCGUGCCAGCAGCCGCGGUAAUACGGAGGAUCCAAGCGUUAUCCGGAAUCAUUGGGUUUAAAGGGUCCGUAGGUGGUUAAUUAAGUCAGAGGUGAAAGCCUAUCGCUCAACGAUAGAACUGCCUUUGAUACUGAUUAACUUGAGUUAUUGUGAAGUAGUUAGAAUAUGUAGUGUAGCGGUGAAAUGCAUAGAUAUUACAUAGAAUACCGAUUGCGAAGGCAGAUUACUAACAAUACACUGACACUGAGGGACGAAAGCGUGGGUAGCGAACAGGAUUAGAUACCCUGGUAGUCCACGCCGUAAACGAUGGUCACUAGCUGUUUGACUAACAAUGGUUAGUUGAGUGGCUAAGCGAAAGUGAUAAGUGACCCACCUGGGGAGUACGCUCGCAAGAGUGAAACUCAAAGGAAUUGACGG